rnacentral:rRNA from 1 species
UGGGGAAUUUUGGACAAUGGGGGAAACCCUGAUCCAGCCAUCCCGCGUGUGCGAUGAAGGCCUUCGGGUUGUAAAGCACUUUUGGCAGGAAAGAAACGUCGCGGGUUAAUACCCCGCGAAACUGACGGUACCUGCAGAAUAAGCACCGGCUAACUACGUGCCAGCAGCCGCGGUAAUACGUAGGGUGCAAGCGUUAAUCGGAAUUACUGGGCGUAAAGCGUGCUCAGGCGGUUCGGAAAGAAAGAUGUGAAAUCCCAGAGCUUAACUUUGGAACUGCAUUUUUAACUACCGGGCUAGAGUGUGUCAGAGGGAGGUGGAAUUCCGCGUGUAGCAGUGAAAUGCGUAGAUAUGCGGAGGAACACCGAUGGCGAAGGCAGCCUCCUGGGAUAACACUGACGCUCAUGCACGAAAGCGUGGGGAGCAAACAGGAUUAGAUACCCUGGUAGUCCACGCCCUAAACGAUGUCAACUAGCUGUUGGGGCCUUCGGGCCUUGGUAGCGCAGCUAACGCAUGAAGUUGACCGCCU